CAUAGUCCUGCAAGGCUCCCCAGAACCCUAGACAUUCAGUAUUUAAUCAGGUAUUUAGUUCAAGUACACCGAGCGGCCUCACCUCUGACCGAGAAGGACGACUUCGUCUGAAAACGAUUGGAUUGACGAGCAUGCUCUUUAUGGAUACGACUCCAAUCUUGCCGAGUCUACACAUCAAGAGGACAACAGGGUAGGAAACACAACAUCGACUCCUCUGAAAAACAGGCAUCAAACAACCAAAGACUCCUCCAAGGCCAAUACAAACACAGAAGACCCAAUACAACAAGAGGAAGAGGAGGAAGAUGAUGACUGAUGACAUACUGAGUAAAACACCUAAACCAGUUGAUACAUUCAAUGGUGUUAAUGUCAAGGAUGAUGAGGUCAAUGAAGGUGCUGAUGAAGGGUUGAGCUAUGAUGAGGAUGAUGAGUUGAUGAGGACGAUGAGUUGAUGAGGAUGAUGUGUUAAUGUCAAGGAUGAUGAGGUCAAUGAAGGUGCUGAUGAAGGGUUGAGCUAUGAUGAGGAUGAUGUGUUGAUGAGGAUGAUGAGUUGAUGAGGACGAUGUGUUGAUGAGGAUGAUGAGGACGAUGUGUUGAUGAGUUGAUGAGGAUGAUGUGUUGAUGAGGAUGAUGUGUUGAUGAGAAUGAUGAGGAUGAUGUGUUGAUGAGGAUGAUGUGUUGAUGAGGAUGAUGAGGAUGAUGUGUUGAUGAGGUUGAUGUGUUGAUGUGGAUGAUGUGUUGAUGAGGGUGAUGUGUUGAUGAGGAUGAUGUGUUGAUGAGGACGAUGUGUUGAUGAGGACGACGUGUUGAUGAGGACGAUGUGUUGAUGGGGAUGAUGUGUUGAUGAGGUUGAUGUGUUGAUGAGGACGAUGUGUUGAUGAGGAUGAUGUGUUGAUGAGGAUGAUGUGUUGAUGGAUGAUGCGGCUAAACAGUUUGACACAAUCAGUUCUGAGGUAGAGCCUCUACUGAUUGAAGAUAGGUUUCUCACAGCCUUUUACAGGACUCUAAAAGUCAGAGAGGUCCAAUUACUAGAUAGGUUUCUCACAGCCUUUUACAGGACUCUAAAAGACAGAGAGGUCCAGUUACUAGAUAGGUUUCUCACAGCCUUUUACAGAGCUCUAAAAGACAGAGAGGUCCAGUUACUAGAUAGGUUUCUCACAGCCUUUUACAGGACUCUAAAAGACAGAGAGGUCCAGCUACACAAACAUAUGGUUGCUUAACUAAGACGGCAGUACAGCCAAGACCUAUCCUUCUGGCAUAAAACCAUGCCACGAUUGAUAAGCAUCAAUUUGAUUAAAAAACCCAAACAAACGAUAAAAGCCUUAUGUAACAUGGAAACUUCUUAAAUAACGC
rnacentral:lncRNA from 1 species